rnacentral:rRNA from 1 species
GAUGAACGCUGGCGGCGUGCCUAAUACAUGCAAGUAGAACGCUGAAGGAGGAGCUUGCUCUUCUGGAUGAGUUGCGAACGGGUGAGUAACGCGUAGGUAACCUGCCUGGUAGCGGGGGAUAACUAUUGGAAACGAUAGCUAAUACCGCAUGACAACAGUUAUUGCAUGAUAACUGUUUAAAAGGGGCAACUGCUCCACUACCAGAUGGACCUGCGAUGUAUUAGCUAGUUGGUGAGGUAACGGCUCACCAAGGCGACGAUACAUAGCCGACCUGAGAGGGGGAUCGGCCACACUGGGACUGAGACACGGCCCAGACUCCUACGGGAGGCAGCAGUAGGGAAUCUUCGGCAAUGGACGGAAGUCUGACCGAGCAACGCCGCGUGAGUGAAGAAGGUUUUCGGAUCGUAAAGCUCUGUUGUAAGAGAAGAACGAGUGUGAGAGUGGAAAGUUCACACUGUGACGGUAUCUUACCAGAAAGGGACGGCUAACUACGUG